rnacentral:rRNA from 1 species
ACUCCUGCGGGAGGCAGCAGUAGGGAAUCUUCGGCAAUGGGGGCAACCCUGACCGAGCAACGCCGCGUGAGUGAAGAAGGUUUUCGGAUCGUAAAGCUCUGUUGUAAGUCAAGAACGGGUGUGAGAGUGGAAAGUUCACACUGUGACGGUAGCUUACCAGAAAGGGACGGCUAACUACGUGCCAGCAGCCGCGGUAAUACGUAGGUCCCGAGCGUUGUCCGGAUUUAUUGGGCGUAAAGCGAGCGCAGGCGGUUUGAUAAGUCUGAAGUUAAAGGCUGUGGCUCAACCAUAGUUCGCUUUGGAAACUGUCAAACUUGAGUGCAGAAGGGGAGAGUGGAAUUCCAUGUGUAGCGGUGAAAUGCGUAGAUAUAUGGAGGAACACCGGUGGCGAAAGCGGCUCUCUGGUCUGUAACUGACGCUGAGGCUCGAAAGCGUGGGGAGCGAACAGGAUUAGAUACCCGGGUAGUCCCA